UACGGAGGGUGCGAGCGUUAAUCGGAAUUACUGGGCGUAAAGCGCACGCAGGCGGUUUGUUAAGCUAGAUGUGAAAGCCCCGGGCUCAACCUGGGAUGGUCAUUUAGAACUGGCAGACUAGAGUCUUGGAGAGGGGAGUGGAAUUCCAGGUGUAGCGGUGAAAUGCGUAGAUAUCUGGAGGAACAUCAGUGGCGAAGGCGACUCCCUGGCCAAAGACUGACGCUCAUGUGCGAGAGUGUGGGUAGCGAACAGG
rnacentral:rRNA from 1 species